rnacentral:rRNA from 1 species
UGGGGAAUAUUGCACAAUGGGCGGAAGCCUGAUGCAGCGACGCCGCGUGAGGGAUGACGGCCUUCGGGUUGUAAACCUCUUUCAGUAGGGACGAAGCGUAAGUGACGGUACCUGCAGAAGAAGCACCGGCUAACUACUUGCCAGCAGCCGCGGUAAUACGUAGGGUGCGAGCGUUGUCCGGAAUUACUGGGCGUAAAGAGCUCGUAGGCGGUUUGUCACGUCGUCUGUGAAAUCCUAGGGCUUAACCCUGGACGUGCAGGCGAUACGGGCUGACUUGAGUACUACAGGGGAGACUGGAAUUUCUGGUGUAGCGGUGGAAUGCACAGAUAUCAGGAAGAACACCGAUGGCGAAGGCAGGUCUCUGGGUAGUAACUGACGCUGAGGAGCGAAAGCAUGGGUAGCGAACAGG